rnacentral:rRNA from 1 species
GAUGAACGCUAGCGGCAGGCCUAAUACAUGCAAGUCGGACGGGAUCCAUUGAUAGCUUGCUAUCAAUGGUGAGAGUGGCGCACGGGUGCGUAACGCGUGAGCAACCUGCCUCCAUCAGGGGGAUAGCCUCUCGAAAGAGAGAUUAACACCGCAUAAUAUCAACAGUUCGCAUGUUCAGUUGAUUAAAUAUUUAUAGGAUGGAGAUGGGCUCGCGUGACAUUAGCUAGUUGGUAGGGUAACGGCUUACCAAGGCGACGAUGUCUAGGGGCUCUGAGAGGAGAAUCCCCCACACUGGUACUGAGACACGGACCAGACUCCUACGGGAGGCAGCAGUAAGGAAGAUUGGUCAAUGGGCGGAAGCCUGAACCAGCCAUGCCGCGUGCAGGAGGACUGCACUAUGGGUUGUAAACUGCUUUUGUCCAGGAAGAAACCUAAAUACGAGUAUUUAGCUGAAUGUACUGGAAGAAUAAGGAUCGGCUAACUCCGUG